rnacentral:rRNA from 1 species
GUUAUAUGGUCAAGCGAAUAAGCGCACACGGUGGAUGCCUUGGCGGUCAGAGGCGAUGAAGGACGUGGCAGCCUGCGAAAAGUAUCGGGGAGCUGGCAACAAGCUUUGAUCCGGUAAUGUCCGAAUGGGGAAACCCACCCGCUUGCGGGUAUCCUGCAGUGAAUACAUAGCUGCUGGAAGCGAACCUGGUGAACUGAAAUAUCUAAGUAACCAGAGGAAAAGAAAUCAACCGAGAUUCCGUAAGUAGCGACGAGCGAACGCGGACUAGCCCUUAAGCUGAUUUGGUUCUAGGAAAACGCUCUGGAAAGAGCGGCCAUAGAAGGUGAUAGCCCUGUAUCUGAAAGGGCCAUUUCAGUGAAGACGAGUAGGGCGGGGCACGUGAAACCCUGUCUGAACAUGGGGGGACCAUCCUCCAAGGCUAAAUACUACUGACCGACCGAUAGUGAACCAGUACCGUGAGGGAAAGGCGAAAAGAACCCCGGAGAGGGGAGUGAAAUAGAUCCUGAAACCGUGUGCGUACAAGCAGUAGGAGCUCCGCAAGGAGUGACUGCGUACCUUUUGUAUAAUGGGUCAGCGACUUACUGUUCGUGGCAAGCUUAACCGUAUAGGGGAGGCGAAGGGAAACCGAGUCUGAUAAGGGCGCAUAGUCGCGGGCAGUAGACCCGAAACCGGGUGAUCUAGUCAUGGCCAGGGUGAAGGUGCCGUAACAGGUACUGGAGGCCCGAACCCACGUCUGUUGCAAAAGACGGGGAUGAGCUGUGAUUAGGAGUGAAAAGCUAAUCGAACCCGGAGAUAGCUGGUUCUCCUCGAAAGCUAUUUAGGUAGCGCCUCAUAUGUAUCCUCUCGGGGGUAGAGCACUGUUAUGGCUAGGGGGUCAUCGCGACUUACCAAACCAUUGCAAACUCCGAAUACCGAGACGGACUGUAUGGGAGACACACGGCGGGUGCUAACGUCCGUCGUGAAAAGGGAAACAACCCAGACCCACAGCUAAGGUCCCAAAUUUUGUGCUAAGUGGAAAACCAUGUGGAAAGGCACAGACAGCCAGGAGGUUGGCUUAGAAGCAGCCACCCUUUAAAGAAAGCGUAAUAGCUCACUGGUCGAGUCGGUCUGCGGGGAAGAUUUAACGGGGCUAAGCACAAAACCGAAGCUUGGGGUGCAUAACUUUGUUAUGCGCGGUAGAGGAGCGUUCCGUAAGCCGUUGAAGGUGGAUUGAGAAGUCUGCUGGAGGUAUCGGAAGUGCGAAUGCUGACAUGAGUAACGAUAAUGCGGGUGAAAAACCCGCACGCCGAAAGCCCAAGGUUUCCUUGCGCAACGUUAAUCGGCGCAGGGUGAGUCGGCCCCUAAGGCGAGGACGAAAGUCGUAGUCGAUGGAAAGCAGGUUAAUAUUCCUGCACCUCGCGUAAGUGCGAUGGAGGGACGGAGAAGGUUAGGUGUACCAGGCGUUGGUUGUCCUGGGGAAAGGCGGUAGGUUUGGAUCUUUGGCAAAUCCGGGAUCCUUUAAGACCGAGCACCGAGACGAGCCUUUAUGGCGAAGUCACUGAUACCACGCUUCCAGGAAAAGCUCCUAAGCUUCAGCUUACGCAGACCGUACCGUAAACCGACACAGGUGGGUAGGAUGAGAAUUCUCAGGCGCUUGAGAGAACUCGGGUGAAGGAACUAGGCAACAUGGCACCGUAACUUCGGGAGAAGGUGCACCCUUUUUGGUGGCUCGUGCGAGCUAUAGCUGAAGAGGGUCGCAGUAACCAGGCCGCUGCGACUGUUUAUCAAAAACACAGCACUCUGCAAACACGAAAGUGGACGUAUAGGGUGUGACGCCUGCCCGGUGCUGGAAGGUUAAUUGAUGGGGUCAGCCGCAAGGCGAAGCUCUUGAUCGAAGCCCCAGUAAACGGCGGCCGUAACUAUAACGGUCCUAAGGUAGCGAAAUUCCUUGUCGGGUAAGUUCCGACCUGCACGAAUGGCGUAACGACAGCGGCGCUGUCUCCACCCGAGACUCAGUGAAAUUGAAAUCGCUGUGAAGAUGCAGCGUUCCCGUGGCAAGACGGAAAGACCCCGUGAACCUUUACUAUAGCUUUACACUGAACGUUGAGUUCGUCUGUGUAGGAUAGGUGGGAGGCUAUGAAACUGUGGCGCUAGCUGCAGUGGAGCCAUCCUUGAAAUACCACCCUGUCGUGCUUGACGUUCUAACCUGGGCCCAUUAUCUGGGUCGGGGACCGUGUAUGGUGGGUAGUUUGACUGGGGCGGUCUCCUCCUAAAGAGUAACGGAGGAGCUCGAAGGUACGCUCAGCGCGGUCGGACAUCGCGCACUGUGUGCAAAGGCAUAAGCGUGCUUGACUGCAAGAUCGACGGAUCAAGCAGGUAGGAAACUAGGACUUAGUGAUCCGGUGGUUCUGUAUGGAAGGGCCAUCGCUCAACGGAUAAAAGGUACUCCGGGGAUAACAGGCUGAUACCGCCCAAGAGUUCAUAUCGACGGCGGUGUUUGGCACCUCGAUGUCGGCUCAUCACAUCCUGGGGCUGUAGUCGGUCCCAAGGGUAUGGCUGUUCGCCAUUUAAAGUGGUACGCGAGCUGGGUUCAGAACGUCGUGAGACAGUUCGGUCCCUAUCUGCCAUGGGCGUUGGAGAUUUGAGAGGGGCUGCUCCUAGUACGAGAGGACCGGAGUGGACGAACCUCUGGUGUUCCGGUUGUCACGCCAGUGGCAUUGCCGGGUAGCUAUGUUCGGAAGCGAUAACCGCUGAAAGCAUCUAAGCGGGAAGCGCGCCUCAAGAUGAGAUCUCCCGGGGCACAAGCCCCCUGAAGGAACCAUAUAGACUAUGUGGUUGAUAGGUCAGGUGUGUAAGUACAGCAAUGUAUUGAGCUAACUGAUACUAAUGAUCCGUGUGGCUUGACCAUAUAACCU